rnacentral:rRNA from 1 species
UGGGCUUGGUUCGUGAUGUCCGUGACCCAUAGUUUUGCUUGAUUUAUAUGUCGUUGGGGGAGAUGAAGCCCUAAUGCCUCACUGUCUGAUUAAUUUAAUAGGGGUUGGGCCCGUCCGAUCCUUCUUUGUGGAUAAUAAGAAUAAGUCACUUUAGGGAUAACAGCGUCAUUUUCUUUUGAGAGUUCUCAUCGACAAGAGUAGUUGCGACCUCGAUGUUUGCAUUAAAAUUUCAGCUAGGUGCAGCCGCUUGGCUGGAAGGCCUGUUCGAUCUUUAAAAUUUUACGUGAUCUGAGGUCAGACCGGACC